rnacentral:rRNA from 1 species
GACGAACGCUGGCGGCGUGCUUAACACAUGCAAGUCGAACGGUGAAGCUCCAGCUUGCUGGAGUGGAUCAGUGGCGAACGGGUGAGUAACACGUGAGCAACCUGCCCCUGACUCUGGAAUAAGCGCUGGAAACGGCGUCUAAUACUGGAUACGAGAAGGGCCCGCAUGGGCACUUUCUGGAAAGUUUUUCGGUUGGGGAUGGGCUCGCGGCCUAUCAGCUUGUUGGUGAGGUAAUGGCUCACCAAGGCGACGACGGGUAGCCGGCCUGAGAGGGCGACCGGCCACACUGGGACUGAGAAACGGCCCAGACUGCUACGGGAGGCAGCAGUGGGAAAUAUUGCACAAUGGGCGAAAGCCUGAUGCAGCGACGCCGCGUGAGGGAUGACGGCCUUCGGGUUGUAAACCUCUUUCAGCAGGGAAGAAGCGAAAGUGACGGUACCUGCAGAAGAAGCACCGGCUAACUACGUG